GCCGGGGUAGCUCAGCUGGGAGAGCAACAGACUGAAGUACAGCUGGGUUCUGGAGGUCCCGUGUUCAAUCCACGGUCCUGGCA
rnacentral:tRNA from 1 species